AUAUAUGUACAUAUGAUCCUUAAGAUUAGUAUCCAACAUUUCUUCUAGCCAUAUAUGUUGAAGACUGAUACUGCUCGCAUUUCAUAUGCAAAUUUGUAUCCUAGAUUUUGUUACAUAAUUUACGGUCCUUUUUUAUUUGUAGCUUGUGCACUUUCUCCAAAGACUUUUGUUUUUCUAAUUAUUGUUUGAAAGCCCGAAAUCUUCUCCUUAGUAGAUUUCAUACCUGGUCUUAAUUAAUCAAGUGGGUUAGUUUUGUUGCUCCAAUGGAAUUUACCUAUCAAUCGUAUCAAAUGUUUUGACAACUUAUGUAGGUCUACAAAAGCUCGAAAGGAAAUGCUCUCUUAAUUUUAAGGACUACCUAACAUUGUAAUUUUUAUGCCUAUAUUGCUUUGUGAUUAAUUUUUAGCAAACACCGGGAAGGGCAUCAUUUCCUUUGAACUUGAAUAAAGUAUAUUAUGCUCGAUUGGUUUGGAUGUAUGUGCAUGUAUUGAUUAUAUAAAAAGGCGGCGGUUAUAAUGCUCCCGCCUUAGCAACUUUUCAAGUUGCUCCUAGAGGUGUGCACGAUUCGGGGUGGGUCGGUUUAGAGUUAUUUUUGGAUCCGAACUGAUUGAAAUCGAUUUUCUAAAAUCGAAACAAAACUGAACCGACCUAUUAAAAAAAGGGGUUCAAAUCGAUCUGAAAAAUUUAGUUCGGUUUAUUAGGUUGAUGUUUAAUGGGUUGGGUUACAUGGACUGGGCUAAGUCCACUCAUAAAUAUUUUAGUUUAUAUAAUAUUGAUGUUCGAUAGGUUGGAUUAAAGAGACUGGACUAAGUUUAAAUAUAUAAAAAAAAUUAAAAAUUGAUAUACACACAUAUGGGUCGGGUUAGGUCGGUUUAAAUCAAGGUCGGAGGAACUGGUACCGGACACCGUACCGAUUCUCCGGCAGCUCGAGUCGGUACGGGCCAUGCUGAGCCUAUGCUGACGAGGGCACGAUACCGUGGGAGAUCCCAAGAGAGAGAGAGAGAGAGAGGGGGGGGGGAGGGUGACGGAUGCUGGCGAAACAGAGGUCCGACCGUGGCUAAAAAAUUUCGAAAUGGGCCCGAACCGGGCGGUUCCGCCGACGUUGGUGUAAAUAUAUAUACUUACAUAUACAUAUGGGUUGGGUCGGGUUG
rnacentral:lncRNA from 1 species